GCCCAGGCCCAAGCCGCUGACGGCAUUGCCAAGGCCGAGGCCUCUGACAAUUGAAGGUCCCCCCCAGAAUGACAGCGGCCGGUGGGGAGGCCCUGCAAGCCCCGCCGGCAUCCUCACAGCUACAACACGGUGUUCAGCCCCUGUGCGCACAUGCGGCUUCUCGCCCACAGGCUGACUAACGGUGCCGUGGGAGGAAGGCUUUGGGUGCGACGGGCUGGAGAAGAGAAGGCUCCAGAGAGACCUUAGAGCAGCCUUCCAGUACCUAAAGGGGGCUGACAAGAAACAGCAGUCAUCACUACUUCUGGAUUAUCAUGGACUGGGAUUUUCAAGAAUUUAAAGUGAGACAAUUGAUAUAAUGCAGUUUUCUGAUCUAAAUACUCUUUGGAAGAUCUUUCAUGGAAUGUGCAAUGUUUUCUAAGCUGACAUCUUGUCUGAUGAGAAAUCCUGCUGCUUUGCUCAGUAAAUACACGGAAGGAAGGAUUUUCCUUGUUGCUGCAAGGAAAGGAAUCGUGGUGGAAUAUUACUGUCAUUCUGUCACAUCGUCAUCCUGAUGGGGAUCUGUAUACUGGGAGAAAAUACUCUGGCAACCAGUAGCUGGAAGAUGAGAGUAGACUAAUUCAAAGUAGAAAUAAAUAUUUUACAUACAGAAUAGUUGAAACCACUUGAAGUGGUUCACAGUUUGGUUGCUUGCACUAGACAAAAUUUUGUAGUCAGCAUACCACCAAAGUAUUCAACUACAGUUUUCUACAGGGCCCUAGAGUUUUGAAGAGCACUGGGCGUGCCCAGAAUACUAGAAGCUCACGCUCACUACACUGCCCCUUGGACCGGUAGUGGCUGCAGUUGCUUGUGGUCCUUUGGAGCAGCUGGAGCUUGGCAAUCUUCCCUUAUUCCAACUUCAUUUAUAUCAGUGAAGUUGACAGCUUCUCAGAGGUGGCCACUCUGAGAUGACAGCUUGAUAAAAUUAUUAAGAAAGACCUUCCUCCUGUUUCAAAAUUAGCAUGUGUUCUAUCUCUGCUUCCUUGGACUU